CACUGCAGAUCAAGCUCGGUGUCCUCUCGGUAGUGUACUUCGAGAGAAUCAAGGCCGUCUUCCCCUAGAUACGUUCAAACCAUACGACGAUUCGUGGAACGGUAUUGUUGGCGGUUUGGGCUACCUCGAUGUUGGCCAGAAGGGCUUCGAUGAAGAUAGGUCAUCGCCGUGAACGAAUACACAUGUGUCUUUGCCCGUGUCAGAACAAAAUGUUUGCUUUGUGACAUUUGCUCUUGUAUUAUUCAUGUUUUCUGGUGAUUUGCAAGUGCUGGUAUGCAUCUAUAAGAUGCCUAUCUUGUAACACGACCAAGUACUGAAGCAAAGAAAAUCAGGCUUCUUGUAUGAGUAGAACCAUCAGGUUUCAUUGA